UACGUAGGGUGCAAGCGUUAAUCGGAAUUACUGGGCGUAAAGCGUGCGCAGGCGGUUUUGUAAGUCUGUCGUGAAAGCCCCGGGCUCAACCUGGGAAUUGCGAUGGAGACUGCAAGGCUUGAAUCUGGCAGAGGGGGGUAGAAUUCCACGUGUAGCAGUGAAAUGCGUAGAGAUGUGGAGGAACACCGAUGGCGAAGGCAGCCCCCUGGGUCAAGAUUGACGCUCAGGCACGAAAGCGUGGGGAGCAAACAGG
rnacentral:rRNA from 1 species